AUCUCCACAAUCUGAUUCUUCUGCAUAGGGGACAAUGUUCUGUACUUCAUGGUGCUUGCUAUAAGCCUUCAAACAACACAAACCAACUUCUAGUUUAACAGAGAGGAGUCACUGAAGCUAACGAUGUCCAAAACCAAAAAAGAACACUUCUAAAAUCUGUAUGUGCUUCACAAUCUCAAUCUGUGGCAAUGCAAUGUGCUUCACAUCUUCAGAUGGAUUAUAUAAGUCACCCCAUCCAAGCAUUCUAUGCUAUCACUCCAUUUUGUUGGCUGCAUGCAUGCCUAAUUGUAACUAUGAUUUUUUAGCUCACCUAACCACUUCCACAUUAAUCAUCACAUUUGCAAUUUGCUUUUGAAGACACAUGGCUAAUUACAUGUAAUUAGACACCUCUUGCACUCCAAAAAUAGAUGGCUAAGUGUCGGGGAAAGAUUCCUUCCAACAUGAUCAUAGCAUUCAAUUGAACAACAAGAUUUUUUCAGCAAAAGUGGUGCUCUAGAAAAAAAUUCGAAUUAUUUCUGUACCCCACUGUACACUGGUGGGGUCCUGACAGCAUUCGGUAUUGCUGGUUUGUUAUGUGUCUGAGUAAUCUCACCCAUAGAACCUCUGCUUGUACUUCUCCUGCAAGCAAUAUACCAGUUAUCGACUUCAUCACUCUACUUUGGAUCUCACACUGUUUUGUAUCAGCUGCGCAACCUCUGAACCUGGAGUUUUCUUUCAGCUAGCUUCAACAAAUUUGGUUUUGUGAUGAUCGAGCUUUGGGCAUAAUUUGAUGAAAUGGGUUUUUGCAGAAGAUAUCCAUUCGAAGAUUUUGAGACUUAUGAGAUUAUUAUUCUUUUUGAGAAAUUGUACAUGAUUGAAUGAGUGGUAAUAGAAAAAACCACGAAACUACAAGACUUCUUUUAAUGUCUUCUUUUUCUCGUAUAUCGGUCAGUGGAGAUUUCUAAUAAAAUCAACUGCACUCAUGGAAAUAUAAUGAGUAUUUUUUCUUUUUUGAUAAGUGUAAUGGAAGUCUUGAGGUUAAUUUGCCCACAUGCAGAUAAUUGAGUUGAAGAUUUCAAAUUCAGCUUCUUGAAUAUUUUUGAGACACAUCAAAGUUAGUGGAUUGAAAAAAAUAUAUUUUAUAACAAUAUAUAUGUAUAUUGGCAUUUUGAUUUUUCUGUGUUAAAUACAGUGCAAAGAGUACAAAGAAGUUAAUUACAAGCACAAACCCUAAAUACCAUUGGAACAGAAAAGAUACUUAAUGUAUGUAUGUUUGAAUAUUUUUGUAAAUUUUUAAAAUGGAAGUAAGAUGGAAAUCUGGUUUACAACACCUAUAUGAAAAAAUUAUUUAAUGCAUAAAAUAUAAAUACAUCAUAUAAUUUAUUAUUAAAUAUUUAUUAAUUAUAUAAUAAUAAUUAUAAUAUUAGAAGAAAAAAUAAUUUCAAAAUUUCUAAGUUAAAAAAUGAAAGAAGUUUAAACUAAAUUUUUAUUGUAUAUAUUUAAAAUUACUAAAAGAAUAUUAAAAAUUAUUACAAUUUUAUUUAAUAAUUUAAUUAAAAAAUAGCUACAAUAAGAUUUGCAACAAUGUAUGAUGUUUUUAUUUCAAUAUAUAUAUAUAUAUAUAUAUAUAUAGAUAGAUAUAAUAUUUUAUCCUAUUCUCCCUUUAAAACCUUCAUC
rnacentral:lncRNA from 1 species